rnacentral:rRNA from 1 species
AUUGAACGCUGGCGGCAGGCCUAACACAUGCAAGUCGAACGGAGUGGCGGACGGGUGAGUAAUGUCUGGGAAACUGCCUGAUGGAGGGGGAUUACUACUGGAAACGGUAGCUAAUACCGCAUACUAUUAGAUGAGCCCAGGUCGGAUUAGCUAUUUGGGGAGGUAAAGGCCUACAAAGGCGACGAUCCGUAACUGGUCUGAGAGGAUGAUCAGUCACACUGGAACUGAGACACGGGCCAGACUCCAACGGGAGGCAGCAGUGGGGAAGAUUGGACAAUGGGCGAAAGCCGGAUCCAGCCAUGCCGCGUGUGUGAAGAAGGUCUUCGGAUUGUAAAGCACUUUAAGUUGGGAGGCGUUACCAACAGAAUAAGCACCGGCUAACUUCGUGCCAGCAGCCGCGGUAAUUC